ensembl:lncRNA
GCCAAGCCUCCCACUUCCCCUCCUACUCCCAAGGAAGGGAGGAAGCAUCUUAAGCAGGACAACUCCUGCUGAAGGCUGUGUCCUCCCUGGUGGAAGGAACGGGAAUGAGCAGGAGCAGAAGCAGCAUGAGGUGAAUCAGGAAGCAAGUCUAUAAGGGAUAUGGAAACAGCCUGAAGAUCCUUUCACUGCAAGAAUUUUACCAUCUGGCUGCUAUUGUUAUCAUUAUUAUGGAAAUGUUUUUACUGUCAGAGGGAAGUACCAGCAGUGGCACUAUCUGAGCACAACAUCAAGAGGCAGCAAGGCAAAUUUGCGUGCCGGGAGUAGAGAAGCGUCUCCAUGCCAGAACAGAAACUCUGGUCCAGCAUUUCCCAUUCAUCUCGUUGCCCUUGUCUAGGUAUUGCCUGCAUAAGUACAUUCAGAUGUCAUUCAUCUUAGAAGUACUUUUCUUUUUUCCCAAAGCUGCUUCCUGCUGCAAUCCUGGAGCAGAAACAGGUUGAUUGUUUAAAAUAGUUUUACAAUCAUGUUAACCGGUAGAUAGAUCGAUCCAUCAAUCUGCCAUUUGUCUUUCUUCAGACAGACAUCACGUUGUUGGGCAACCUGCAGUU